UAGUUUAUAGACGCUCUAUGCGCCAAAGGCCCAAAGCUAAGGUUAGACAGAGGAGACUCUUGCUUCAAGGCUUCACGGUGCUGUGAGAGAAGGAAAAGCAGAAGCAGAUUAGUGGAGAGAGAAGAUGAUUUACAGAAAGUGGAGUCUUCUUACCGGCCCAGUAACCAUCUUGGGCUCUAUCGUAGCUACCGUUGUCGUUGCGAAUUACCUCUUCGUCAAUAACGAUCCGUUCCUUAAGCCAGAGCAAAAGAAGCAAGAGAUGUUACAAGCAUCCACAAAAUAGACUAAUGGGAGGGGGUGAUCAUUCCUUGGAUCUUUCCUUUAGUGUAUGUUGUUAUAUGCCCUUGCAAGUGGGCAUGGUUAUGCGACUUACGUUUGAAUUGCAGUUUGAAACAAUAAACAUUUGAUUGAAUAAAGUUGAGUUCCAGGGUUUUCUUAAA